UACGUAGGUGGCAAGCGUUGUCCGGAUUUACUGGGCGUAAAGCGUGCGCAGGCGGUUUUGUAAGUCUGUCGUGAAAGCCCCGGGCUCAACCUGGGAAUUGCGAUGGAGACUGCAAGGCUUGAAUCUGGCAGAGGGGGGUAGAAUUCCACGUGUAGCAGUGAAAUGCGUAGAGAUGUGGAGGAACACCGAUGGCGAAGGCAGCCCCCUGGGUCAAGAUUGACGCUCAUGCACGAAAGCGUGGGGAGCAAACAGG
rnacentral:rRNA from 1 species